UCUGUAGCUCAGUUGGUUAGAGCACUGCACCGGAAUCAAGGGCUGCAGGUUCGAUUCCAACUGCUCCUGGUUUAUAGGGCCAAUAAAUGUAUAAAAAUUCCACAAUGACUACAAAUUAUCAGGUAUAUCAAGUGAGAUCCCCAAAAUCCUAGAUAUCUUCCCCAAAAGUGUACUUACCUGUACCAAUUUCACACGCUUUUCCUUCUCUUGUUUUUUUCCACUGAACUGCUGGCCUUGCUUUUUACUAUCAGUUUGUUUCUUCUGUCCCUCAUCGUUUGUCUUUUCAGAAUUCUGUCCUUCGUUUUUUUGUGCAUUAUUCCGAUUAUUCUUCCUUCGUCUUUGAUUUAUCGACGGACGUGAACGAGCAUUCGUAACCCCAUUCAUAAUGCCAACACUCCAACAGUUCUAGUUGACUACAGCUCUCAGACAGGAAGCUCAAAGCAAUCACAAUUCAAAUGUGGCCAUGUCAACAGAUUCGGCAAAUUAUGUUGGCUUACAGUUGAUUGCGAAAAUCACUUCGAGACGUGCAUUUUCUGCCCGGAUUAGAUAGCAUUUGGUAGACGUAUUCCUGCUGAGUUACUUCAAUUCUUUUAAAAGAUUCUACAUCGCAGAAGUAAGCAGCUAAAGAUAAAACAAACACACGUGCAAAUCUUCCAAGAAAUCAUUAAAUUUCAUAUUU